rnacentral:pre_miRNA from 1 species
ACCUUACUCCCUCCGUCCGGAAAUAGGUGACUCGAAUUUGUCUGGAUUUGUAUGUAUCUAGACGCAUUUUAGUGUAUAAAUAUGUGCGAAUCUAGACAAAUCCGAAUCACUUGUUUCCGGAUGGAGGAAAAACAAA